rnacentral:lncRNA from 1 species
GGCUGGAGAAGGGGAAGGAAGGGGAACUUGGGUUGGUAUGUAAAAUGAAAAAAAUAAAUAAAAAUAUUAAUAAAGGUAAUGACAAUUUUUUAAAAGUAAAAAAAAAAUUCAAAUACAUUUGAAAGCAAAAACCUAUACUGAAAAUGUUACUGAAGGGGUUCCUUCCUUUUUCUAGAAAAGUAUUUCCCCAGAGUCAGCCCUGAAAGGCACAGAGGGACUAAUGCAACUGAGUGAGGGGGGGGGGGCAGACUACAACUCAAGCAAGUAGCAGAACUAGACAGCAUCACGCAUAUGGUACUGUGGUGGGCAUGAUACAUGAUACAAGGGAGUGAUAGAGGUUUGGGCCAAGGUUUCAGAAGGCUACUGAAGCCAGCGAUGCAAGGUGUGGCAAGAUUAGAGCUCCUGCAAUGAGGCCCAAAGAACCCAUGAUAUGGAGCUGUGAGGUUGAAGCCUAAGUCAUUGGAAAACUCAGGGUGUUGGUGAUGCCAGUACUAUAGAAUAUCUGUACUGAGGAAAGCUGUGUGCACAAAGUGUCAUUUGCCCAAGAGAAAAGCUGUGUGUGCUGACCCCUGGGGCCCUGAUAGUUCUGACAUGCCCCGGGUAGCUGUGUGCUGAACCUCUGGAGCCCUGAAGGUUCUGUCAUGCCCCAGGUAGCCAACAUCAUGCUGCAAGAGUUGGAGUUUUUUUUCUGCUGACUUUAGUUUUGUUUUGAUUCAGGAAUCAGGAUACCUUGAUUCCUCUCUUUGGGGAGAGAAACACCAUUUUGUUUUGGUAUUGUGCAAUUCGGAUGUUACAGGAGCUCACUGUUGAAAGGUUGCCUGAGUUUCAGAAGACACUCCACACUUACUUUGGACAGUGUUUGAACUGUUAGUGUACAGAAUUUUUGAGGCUUGUGUUAUGAGAUGUUAUGUGUCUCUGGAGACAAGUGGUAAAGGACUGUGACUUGAUAGUAAUGUGGUCGAAAGUCAGGUUAACAAAGGGCCAACUCCUGAUGGUUGAUAUUGAUUGCCAAUUUGACAGACUCUAGAAUCACUCAGUGAGGGGGGAAUGGGGCUGCUGGGUUGAUCCAGGCUUGUAGACCACUGAUAAUUUUGGCAGAAGUUCCAAGAUGAUUGGUCAUGUAUGAGAAAAGAGAAAAUAAAUCCAGGAGGAACUUGAUAAAUACUGCCAGUAAGAACUGCAUCACAUGCCAGUUAACACUGAUUGCACCUGUAGUUAAGUCAGAUGCCAUGCUCCAUCUUUUUGUAUAGUGCCUAGUGAAUCAUUCAGAAAUCCUGUGAAAUGUGAAGCACUGGUAAUAGCACUUUCAAAUGAAGAUGCCAAGGAUUAAAAUGAACAUGGAGCUUAGUAGUUUUCUGCUUGACUUCAGGUCUUUUAACUCAAAAACAGCUAAGACCUAGCAAUACUAAUGACAGCAAAAAAUGAUAAAAUUAAUGCAGGGUUGAAAAGUUAUGACAGAUGCACUGAACUUUCGGUUUAAGAUAUCUUAAUGUUAAGUGAUCCAUCCAGAGGAUUACAAGACCCUGAAGAACUAGUGUGUAAGGGAUUUACAGGAGUUGGCACUGAACAUGUUCAACUCCUCUCAAUAAAAUGGUAUGUCUAAAUUACCUCUAAGUCCUAGCACUAUUCCCAAAUUCUCUCUUUUCCAUAAAGAAAGUUUCCUGAUUCCUCAUUUGGAAAGUAUUUCUUCUUCCUUAUAUCUUAAAAUAAUAUAUAUUCCUAGAUUAAACAGUCACUAGGUUAUCUCUUUCAUUCAUAUAAUUUUCUAAAACUUUUAUGCUUUUGAUUGAGGUCAAGUCAAUGUGUAACAAAAUCUACAUAUCUAUAUAAUUCAUUGAGUUUUUGUAAAUACAUAUUUAAGAGACAGUUAUUUAAACAAAAUAUAGCUUAUGAUAGAAUAGUUAGUUCUGCAAACACAGAAAACAUAGAAGGUUUCUCCUUCUAUGACCACCAUCUUCCAACAAUCCAUCAGAGCCUAGCUUGGACAAUAAAACAUCAUACAAAUAGUCAUACGGCAUGUAUUCUUUCAUGUGUGAUUUGUAUCCUUUACAUAACUUAGAUUUGGUCAUACUGUUGUAGUCUCCCUUUUUACACUAGCUAGUACUGCCCCCUUACAAACAUCAAUAACCAUGCCCAUCUCCUGUGUUGCUUCUGACCCUGAGCUGUUAUGAAUGAGUGACUAUGCUUGUUCUUGUGCACAGAUGCCUAUGUUUACUUCUUUCAGGGGUGGUGAUAAACUAGUUCUGCCUUCUUUUGUUGAUCAGCAUGGUUGAACUUAAUUUUUAAUACUUUAGUUAGUAUGAAAUGGAGCCAUUGUGGUUUUAAUUUAAACAUUCUUUUCUUGUCCCUAUUAACCAUUCAUAUAUCCUCUAUGAUACAAUGGCCAGGUCUUUUGCCCAUUCUUUUUAAACUGAAAUUUUCUUUUUUAAUCUUUUUAUUAUGCAUUAGUACUGGCUUUUUCCCUUUUUUUUUGAAAAACAUCUUUUUUUUCCCCCUCAAAUACAUCUUGAUUAUGGUUUGCCCUCACUGUACUCCUCCCAGUUCCUCCCCACAACCCCUCCCAUCUGGAUCCAACCCCUUUCUGUCUCUCACUGGAAAACAAUUUUCUAAAGGAUAAUAGUAAAGCAAAAUAGGAUAAAACAAAAACUAAUGCAUCAAAAUAGGAAAAAAUAAAAAGGGAAAGACACGCCCCAAAAGGAACAUGAAACAGACAUAGAUUCCGAGUUCCACUUGUUUAUACACUCAGGAAUCCCAUAAAAACACUAAACUGGAAGCCAUUAUCUAUACAAAAAGGACAUGUAAGGUAAAAAGAGAAGUUUGUUUUGUUUUGUUGGGUUUUUUUUAAGCCCCGACAUGACAUUAUGAGACAAGCAACUUCCAAUGAUGCUGUGGAUGCUGUUGAGUUCAUUUUCUAUUGAUCAUCUAUUGCUCAUCACAUAGCCUACCUUUAAGAGCAUUUUGUUUCCCAAAUGAGACUCCACUGGAGAAAAGUAAAUUUUUUAUUUGCAAGUGGCUAUCAAUUGGAGAUAGCUUCUGGGUUAGGGAUGGGCGCAUAUGCCCACUUCCUUAAGCUCUAGCACCCAUCUGGUGCAGAACUGUGCUGCUUUAGUCUCCGUGAGAUCAUGAGAGCUUUGAUCAUGUUGAUUUAAAGAACUUUGUUUUCUUGGUGUCCUCCAUGCCCUCUGGCUCUUAGACUCUUUCUGCAUCUUCUACAGGAUCCCCCGAGCCCUGAGGGGAGUGAUUUGAUGGAGACAUCCAUUUUGGGCUGAGUAUUUUAAGGUCCUCCAUCCUCUGCAUAAUGUCUGCAUGUGGGUCCCUGUAUAAGUUGCCAUCUUCUGUGGGAGGAAGCUUCUCUGAUGAUGGCUGAGCAAGGCACUGACCUAUGAGUACAGCAGAAUGUCAUUAGGAACCAUUUUAUUGCUACAUUCUUUUGUCUGGUUUACCCUAGGUUCCUGGACUUUCUUCACCAUCAAAGCAAUGUCAGGUAUCAUCUUCCACAAUGGGGCCUUGCUGUCAGUCUGUGAAGAGCAACCUACAAUCUUAGCAAUAGCCUGCAUUGAUCAGGAGUUCAAUGAGAAGGCCUAACAACUCAAUUAGAUGUAACUAAUUCCCGGCACUGGAAGUUUCAUUUACUGGCAAGAGAUGUCUCGUUCGGACUUUGAACCAUCCUUGCAUCUCCGGGAUGAAGCCUACUUGAUCAUGUGGAGCCAGUGGAAGUGGGAAGGCUGCAGUAGGUGGUCUGAUACAAAGCUGUGGAUGAAACUGGGGGAUUGAUUUGUGAGAGAGAGAAAGGAAGAAGAGGUGAAGAUCUGUAGUUAUCCUACCUGCUUCCCUGGCUAGAGUGGCCUGCGGGUUCCCAGGAAAUGCCUGCUAGAGUCAGCGGGCUGGAAUAAUGGGAUGAGUGGGUAAGGACGUUUGGAGGGGAAGAUCUGUGUGACCCACUGGAUUUGGGACCAUUUGUACUAACUUUUAAAUAGUCUAGAUAAAAAUCUUUGUUUUUAGUUUAUCUUGUUUUGUUUUGGGGAUUUUGUUUGUUUGUUGUUGUUUUUUAGAGAAAGUCUCACUAUGUAGCUUUGCUGGAGUGGAACAAAGUCCUGGAAGGCCUGUGCCUCUACAACUGGCAAAACCUUUGUUUUUAUGUGUUUUUUUCUUUUUUUCCAAUCUCGGCUUUAUUUUUCACUUUAUCAACUGUACCAGUGUUGGGCAAAAUCUCCCAGACAUAGCCAGGAUUUAGAACUAUCUCCAGCUUCUUUAUGGAAUAUUUGUCUAAAUAUACAAAGAUGUUUGUUUAAUUAUGUAAUGACAUGCUGUUGUUUUACCUUGCCUGUCUAAGGCACAUAAUUGGUCUAAUCAAAAGCUGAAUGGCCAGUAGGGAGGGAGGAGGUUUAGGCAGGAGUUCUGGGAAGAGAAAAUGAGUAAGAGGAGAAAUUUAGGCAGGGGUGGUGGAAAGAAAGAAUAAAAGACACCAGGAAGACAUUAGGGGACAGACAGACAAGGAAGAAGCAGGGAAAUAGGGCAUAAAGAAUGAAAGAAAGGUAAAACGACUCAAAGUAAAACAUAAAUGAAUAGAAACGGGUUAAAUUAAGUUAUAAGAGCUAGUGGGACAAGCCAAAGCCAAGGCUGAGAAUUCAUAAUUUAUAGUAAGUCUGUAUGUCUUUAUUUGGAAGCUGGUUGGUAGUCCAAAGAAAAUUCCAACUAUACAGGCUACCAUAUUUGAAAGUCUUCUUCUUCACCCUUUCUCUGGUCCCUCUAGAUAAGUUAUGGGUUUUUUUUAUAACAAAGUUGUUCUAUAAAUGCUCAUUUAUUUUAAAAUUUCAUCAUUAUAUUGAAAUUGGAACAUUAUUUUGUUUGACUAGUUUGUCUCAAAGUUGUUACCUACUGGAAGGGAUUUUUUGUUUUGUUUUGAUGGUGGUGGUGAUAUUCUCUCUCUCUCUCUCUCUCUCUCUCUCUCUCUCUCUCUCUCUCUCUCUCUUUCUGUGUGUGUGUAGGGGGGUUGGUUGGUUGGUUGGUUUGAUGGUUAGUUUGAGAUUUGAUAAUAAUAUGUAGCCUUGUCUGGCCUGGGACUUACUCUGUAGACAAGGCUUGUCUCAGACUUACAGAGAUGCUACGUAUCUCUGUCUCCCAAUUGCUGGAAUUAAAAGUAUGCAUCACUAGACCCAGAGGCCAGCUAAAGUUUUGAGUAGAAUAUAGAAUAUUCUGGGUAGUGUGUUAAAUUAUAUCCUAGUUGAAUACUAAAUUCCUAUGAUAGUUCAUUUUAACAAAUUCUUUCUGAUACAAAAGUCCCCCAAAACCUAGUGCCAGCCUUCCCCCUUAACUGAUCUCAUGUUGAGCCACCAAAUAGUAGAUGAUACAAUAAACACACAUCAUUUAGAAACUGUCUCCCAGGCAUAUAUAGCACUGCAGAGAAAAGUAUUAUCAAAAAAAAUCUCAUUCUGUCACAAAAUGAAGUAUUGAGAAUAUUUUAUUCCAUUUUAUUUCUGAUAUUAUAACUGAAAUUCCAGAAGGCAUGCCAAUUUCAAGUAGUUUCUGUUCUUUUUUUAAACAUGUUAGUAUAAUGGACUAUUAAGUUAAAUGAGACCAUCAGUUUCAAAUAAUGGAGUCAAAUUAAAUUUAAUAGACAUCACUAUUUGUGUCUGUGCUCAUGACAGAACACACUAUAACUUCCUUUGACAUGUACCAGCCUACCCUCAGGUCCCCUUCCUCAAUUCCUUAAGUCACCUCAAGUGACACAUCAAUGCCAAUGCUCAUUUCAGGAUUUCUCCCUAAUUUUGUCUCUGGUGUUCUAUUUAUCUGACAAUUAUUUCAUUGUUCACACUCAUUUUGUAUCUUUGCUCUUACAAAACUAUCAAAUUGCCCUCCUCACACUAGGUUGACAUCAUACUCAUCCUCUGAGCCAUUACCAGAAUUACCUUCCUCAAACAAAACAAAUGUGAUCAGGUCAGCCCUUCCAGUGACUUUCAAAGUCUUCCUCAUGUCCCUAAGGACCAAUUACACCAAACCCGACCCAAAUUAACACUGUAACCUCCAUGGCACCGUCCUCUCCACAACUUCUCACUUUCCCUUCUGUGUUUUCAACAAAUUGAUACUGCUUUCCAAUACCCACUUCCUCCUUCCUGCCUUCAGGUGAGCUUACCUCACUCCAGGUGCAGCACGAACAUUGCCUCAUUGCUGAAGAAUUCCACACUUCUUUCUGACAAGGUGUCAUUAACAAGAAGACAGUGUGUGGAAAUAUUAGGCAGACUGGCUUCUGUUUCAAAAGUCACCAUGAGACAGUGAAGGUACUAAAUUAAUUGAGUCAGAAGACAAUGGUUAAAAAUGUCUGGAGGGAGCUGUUCCGUGCUUACAGGCACUGCUUCCUCACCUGGAUGCCGCACUUCCUCCCUCUCUGACAGGAUUAACAUGAACGCUGCCCAGCGGUCUAUGAAGGCUGCUUCACCUUCCAGUUCAACAAUGCUUCCAUUUAAGAAGCAUCAGAACACAGAAAUCACCACAGGAGACCUGACUCAACUUGUUCCUCCAUUGGAGAGAAAGAUUAAAGUGUUUUUUUCACCUACUUCCCCCUCUUCACCCCCAUCACCUCUUAAUCCUCUAUCCGGCUGAUUCACAGCAGCUGUUAAAUAACUAGACAUUUAGGUAAAGGCAGACUGAACCUAUAAAUCAGCGUGUGUGAUAUAAUAACCAGCCUGCUCAUGCUGUCUUGGUUUGCUAUUUUUAUGCUGACUUCAGCUGCAGCAUCUAUAUGAAGGGGUUUAGAGCAAUUGUAAAUACUAAUCUCUGGGAUGCCAAUGUCAACAUGGAAAUAUAUACAAGUCAGUGAAACCCCCAUUACAUUCAUAGAGAUGAGUAUAGGACUGUCUGCGAACAUACUGAAUAGUAAAAAAAGAGAAAUAGAAAGUGAAGAAUUGUUAGAGAAUGAGGAGGGGAGUAGUAACUGAGAAGGUGGACUCUCGAAUUUGAGAUCAAAUUCCCUUGGAAGGGAAUGCACUCAUUUAUGCCACUACAGUGUUUGGCAACAGAUGAAGAAAAAAACAAACAAACAAACAAACAAACAAAAACCUGCUCCUAGGUAUGGUAGGGAAAGGGUUUAUUGUAGAUAUGAGAGAGAGCAUAGCCAGAGGCAAGAACAUCAGGGAGAGUCCAGAGCGAACAUGACCCCGAGCUGCUUCAUGAGAGAGGAGUAAGGGGGAGGGUACCCAAAAUGGCUGGAUUAUAUAGGGAAGGACAUCUCCGGGAAGGGAAGCCCAACCUCGUGGUGGAGAAGUUUAGGGUGAUAUGUUAAAUAAGCUCCUCAGUUAGCCAUUUGUCCCAGGUUUGAGAUCUAACACAUAUGUAUCCUCCAAACCUGUUAAAAAUCUCCCUAGUACCUGGGUGAAUAUUUGUUAGGACUGUCUAGCUGUGAAUGACAAAAACCAACAUCAGCUGGUUUCAAAUUCGGAAGAUACAAGAUUUCACAGGGAAGCCCAUUUGCAGACAUGUUGUACAUCCGAAGGAGCUGGCCGCAGAGCCAAGAAAUUUCUGAGCCAUCUAAAAUCUCUGCAUUUCAUCUCUCCCAACCCACCCAACCAUUUGUUUUUCUCGCUUUCGAUUAAUUUGUUCCCUUUGUGUAGCAGAUAUUUCUGGUUUAGCAAAUCCAUUGUCCUUUUCAUCUAAGUACAUAUCGGAAUCACAUGUUCUAGUAAUGUGAGCAUGUAGCUCCAUUCUGGCUUCUACUUCAAGGGCUGGUUCAUAAGCACCAGCUCCUCACCUCCUCUGCUCCACACACUUCUACCUACGCUUUCCAUCUGCUACCAGGAUGAUGAAGACUGAGACCGUGGACGUUGUCUGGGAACCAAAAGCUUAAAGAAUCUUGUUCUCUCCACAGUGCAACCUCUACCAAGAAGCUCCGCCCACUUCAGCAUCUACCAGGAAGCUCCUCCUACUUCAGCAUCCACCAGGAUGAUGCUCCUGCUUCAGCUUGCACUUGACGUGAAUGAGAAGUCAAAUGCUAUCCUAAUUCCUAUCCCCUUAAGCCAUUAAAAAUUAAGAUUUCUCAGCUGGGCAGUGGUGGCACAUGCCUUAAAUCCCAGCAAUUGGGAUGCAGAGGCAGGUGGCUCUCUGUGAGUGCGAGGCCAGCCUAGUCUACAGAGAGUUUUCCAGGACAGGCUCCAAAGUCACACAGAGGAACCCUGUCUCAAAAACAAAAAUAAGAUUUCUCUUUAAAGUGAGUAGUUAUCACUCUGAAGUGCCUUUCUUUUAUGUCAAUGAUCUCUUUUUCCUAAUUUGUGAAACCAGACUGAUUCCUGACCCAACAGGUCAGUCCUAUCCUUGAAAGGAGCAAUUUUGAUGAGGAAGGUGGGUUGUGAUACUAAAAAACACUAGUACAGGGUUUACCAUGUGAACAUGCAGUUGUUAGAACACAGUAAGUACGAGGCUUGUUUCAACUCUACUACUAACUCAGUGAGCUGACUUCACCCACAUAUGGUCUCCUUGAGCACCAGCCCCCUCCUCUUGGAGCCAGAGCUUUAGGUGAGAUUAAUUACCUCCAAAGUCUUUUGCAACUAUAGUAUGUUCUCCUUAAUGCUUCAUGCUAUACCUACAAAGCAACUCUUACACAGUGAAAGAGAAUUUCCCUGAAUGAUUUUUGCAAUUGAAUAACCUAAUGCCAAAAAUGUCAGUGACAAUUCUGAGAUACCCUGCUUAGUACCCUGACAUCAUGGGAACACAC